GAGCUGUACGUUAACAUAAUACAAAAAAAUAUGUGUAUCAAUAAUUGGCACGUAAAUUAAUAUCUUGCUUAUAAAAAGAGCUAUCCAACUAUAUAGCUGGUACUCUUUCGUACCAUUAAUUAUUUGUGACGUCAAAAUAAUUUCAAAAAUAGUCUAGUAAUUCCACUUUAAUUUGUGUGACUAUACUAAAUAUAUAUGUAAUUUUUGCAAUAAAAGAUACUAUAAUACUUACACGUCAUAAGUGAUUAUUAAUAGUGUCAUAUAAAAUAAAACGACAGUUUGCUUACCUAGUGAGGAAUUCAGAGAUGGGAUGAGCGGAUAAGAUAGGCGAACGGUCGCCGUUAGCGAUCCGUUGAAUCUCCGGUUGAAGAUCUUCAUAAGUUACGACCGGAAUUCUGGAUUUAAAGGUUUCACGGUCACUGACGCCGUCAAGUUUAAAGCGCUUGAGGUACUCCGUUUGGGAGUUUCUAGUCAAUAUCUCAUCCAAGACUCUUUGUUGAACGGCAUCAGCAUUUCUAGUCAUUUCUUCAAUGAAUUGAAGUGCUUUUGCAUCUUUUUCACAUGCAGGAGGACCCAAUGGAGAUGAAAGUACUGAAUCAACAGCCAUAUUUUCAGAGUAAAAAAAAAAAAGGUAAUUAAGAAAUGAAAGAGAUUUUUCUUUGUUAAUUACUUAAGAGAGUUGGGAGAGUUGUGUAUGGAAAAGGUGUGCGGAGGAUGGAGUAAGAGGGGUGUAUAAAUAGAGAGGAAAGAGGGGGUGACACGUCACGUGCCAUGUCAUAUGUGGGGCCCAAAAGGGCGGCAAAAACAAAAAGAAGGUUGGAAGGUUGGAAGGAAGUCGACGCGGGGGCCGUGGACAAUUUUGUAAUAUCAAUGGUGUUUAGUGAAGAGGGGACAAGAUGGGGGCCCUUAACACGUCUACAAAGCCCUAAUUUAGGGGUGCAAUGUGGGGCCCAAUAUAAGCCACGUCAUCUGGGACACAGCUUACGGUUUGGUUUUGGACUGGGGUGGUGCAUCACCUAACCACGCGGCUCGAUUCUCGUAACAUUGUUGGACCCCGACUGCGAUCGCCCACUUCAUUUUCCGUUACAUGAGUCAUGACCACUUAAGAUACAUUUGUAUAUUUUGACAAGACUUGAGAACAUAUUUAAAAAAACAACGUAAACAAAAUAAUGAGUAGUAUUUUCUUCGAUUAAAAAAGAACGAGUUACUUUUUUUUAGUUCGCUUAAAAAAAAAAUGAUCUUUUUUUUUUUUACAAUACUUUAAUUUCAACUUUACGCGUGGCAUGUUUAAAACCACAAGUUUAAACAACAUUUUGGUACAUUUGACACAGUUUUAAUUUAAUGCCACAAAAUUUAAAAGUUUUCUUUAUUUUCUUAAAUUUUAUGUCAAGUUAAAGUAGGUCAUUCUUUUUUAAACGAAGAAAGUAUAAAUUACAAUAGUAUAACUUAAAAUCUAUAAAAGACAUGUAAUGAAAUUUUGGUCAGAAAAACUUGGCUAAUUUUUGAAAUUUCAACCGUGUUAUGUAAAUUGAUAGAAAGAAAUUGUAUAUUUAUAUUAAUAAAAAUAUGAAAUUAAUAUCCCAUACAGGAAAACAGACACUUAAAUGCUGUGUUUUCCUGCGUGUAUUAUGCAAGUAGCCCACAAGGCAGGAGGAACAAAAAGUGUUGUUCCUUCUUAAUACAUAUGCCAUGCAUCGUCCAAACAAAAUGAUGCAUAUAAAAUGAUAUUUUAAGUUUCUCUCGAAAAUAAUGCUUAAAAAAAGAGAUCAAAAGAAUAUUGAUAUUGUUAUCUGAGAAGAGGAUAAGCAAGCUAAUAAUAAGUGAUGCAUUUGAUUGAACAUAUCACAACAACAUGCAUGCAUCUUAGAAAUCAAACGAUCUAGUUAUUCUGUCCCUUUUUCUUGGCUUAUAAUUAAUUAAUUAAUUAACCAUAUACGAUGAUAUACUCUAAAACAUAUCCUUUCUGGGUGUGCUUCAGUCAGUUUGGUUUGGUUUAUCGAUUUUUUACUUUUAAAUAUGUUAAAUCAAUAAUCAAAUUAAUAAGAUACUUUUUAUCGGUUUUCGGUUUAUCGGUUCGAUUUUCGGUUUAACCGAUAAGAAAAUACUCAUAAAAUAGAAAUAGUAGUAACUAACAUGAAAAAAAAUGAAUCUUAGUUGCAACCAAAAAUCCUACAUGAUGUGUUUUAAUUUACAAGAAUCUUCAAGUUAGAACUAAAUGUUAGGAGAAAUUAAGAGUUUGUAUAAUUAAAAUAAUAGGUUUGUUAAUUUGUAGAAAUUAAAGGGAAAUUAAG
rnacentral:lncRNA from 1 species